UACGUAGGUGGCAAGCGUUGUUCGGAUUUACUGGGCGUAAAGGGCGCGUAGGCGGCGUGACAAGUCACUUGUGAAAUCUCCGGGCUUAACUCGGAAAGGUCAACCGAUACUGUGCGGCUAGAGUGCGGAAGGGGCAACUGGAAUUCUCGGUGUAGCGGUGAAAUGCGUAGAUAUCGAGAGGAACACCUGCGGCGAAGGCGGGUUGCUGGGCCGACACUGACGCUGAUGCGCGAAAGCCAGGGGAGCGAACGGG
rnacentral:rRNA from 1 species